GGAUUCUGGGAAAUGUAGUAGAGAAGUGGUGAUCCACAGGAAGUGACAUAUCAGGGCGACUCAUAUAUAAACAAGGGCAAGAAGGAAGUGGGCCCCUUCUCCUUUACUCCAGACUCACCAUGUGAUCCACCGGCAAGAGAGGGCACCAGGGAAGGCAUCCUCUAUAAGAUAAGUCUUAUAAAAUACAUAGAUUUAUGAUAAUUAAGACUGAGCUAACAGAUGAGAAAUCCUAGUCAUUGGCCAAGCAGCAUUUGUACCUAAUAGAAGUCUCUGUGUAUUAUUUGGGGCCCUAACUCGGCAGGCAGAACUCCGGCGGCUGGCAGAAAGCGCCCAUGUGGUGGUAGGACUCUGGUGGCUUUUGGCGGAAAGAUUUAUCGUAACAGAGGCUCUUGUCUCCCUCACUGGAAUUUAAAAGAGGCCAGAAGAAGGCAUUGGGUCCCAGGAACUGGAAUUACAGAUGGUGCGAGCUGCUGUUGCUGUGUAGGUGCUGGGGCUCGAACCCUGGUCCUCUUUAAAGAAUCUGGCAGAGUGAAGUGGAAUGGGCCAAGGCUGUACACCCCCGAUGCCUGCUCUCAAUGACAUGCUUCCUCCAGCAAGGCUGUGUGUAUCCUGAUGGUUAGGAAGUACAUAACCUCCCCCACAGUGUCACCAGCUGGGGAAACAAAUGUUCAAAUACAUGAGCCUGUGGGGGACAUUUUCAUUCAAACCACCAUAAUCAGCUGCCUCUGUCUGUCUUGAUAUGUGUAUAUUGAAAGUUGCUUAUGUCAAAGGUGAAAGAGAGGUUUAGUAGAUGGAAAUAUUUAUUUAUGCAAAGCUCUGUUUACUUUUCAGUAUGGAUCUAAUUAGGGAAGCCAGUGCAAAGGUACCGUGUGGCAAUGCAUGUAUGUACCUGUGUUUGGUAGUGUGUGUGUGUGUGUGUGUGUGUGCGCGUGCACGCAUGAGCAUGUGUAAAUAGAGCUGAGUUAGCCAGGCGUUGGUGGCACACUCCUUUAAUCCCAGCGCUCGGGAGGCAUAGGCAGGCGGACCUCAGUGAGUUUAAGACCAGCCUGGUCUACAAGAGAAAGUUCCAGGACAGCCUCCAAAGCCACAGAGAAACCCUGACUCCAAAAACCAAAAGAAAAAAAAGCUGAGUCCAAGAGCCAAGAGAGGCACCCAGGAAAGCUGCAACUGUGCAGGGAGAAGAAAUACCUGAUUCUGGACUUGGAGGGGCUGAUAUUGCAUGGACUCUGUCUGAGUGAGGCCCCUAACCAUCUGUACUGCCCAUCUGAACAGGGCUCCUGAACCCCCUAUGAGAAUACUUCUUGAAGAAGUAAACGACCUUGUGUUUCUAGUGCUUUCUGUCAUCCUGUGUGUGUGUGUGUGUGUGUGUGUGUGUGUGUGUGUGUGUUGUGUUUUCUUGUGUUUGUAUAGGUGUGUGUAUGUGUGUGCAUAUGUGUUCAUGUGUGUCAAGGCCAGAGAGAUAACAUUAAGUAACUUCCCCUAUUGCUCUCUAUUUUAUUUAUUUUUUAAAGGUUUGUUCAUUUUUAUUCUAUGUGUAUGAGUGUUUUGCCUGCAUCUAUGUCUUUGCAUCACAUGUAUACUGAAGCCCAUGGAGGCCAGAGGAGGGCAUCAGAUCCCCUGGAACUGGAGUCACAGACAGUUGUGAGCUGCCAUGGGGGUGCUGGAUUCUUAAACUGGGUCCCCUGCAAGAGCUAAGUAAGUUCUCUUCACCCCCGAGCCAGCUCUCUAGCCCCCUUAUUUAUUUAUUAUUUAUAAGACAGGCCCUCACUGUGCAGUUUUUGUUGGCCUAGAACUUGCUGUACAGACCACUCUGGCCUUGAACACACUGAGAUCUGUCUCCGAAGCAGGGAUUAAAUGUGUGCCUCCCACCCAGCUCCACCUAAGCUGUUUGAGACAGGGUCUUUUGGUGAAUCUGGAGGUCAUCACCCUGGAGCUUGCUGGCUGGCCCCUGUCUCCACCUCUCUAGCCCUGGGGUUAUGGCUGUGUGCUGGCAACACUGGGCUUUCACAUGGGCAUCGGGGGUUAAAACCAGGUCCUGAUGAUUGUGCUGGAGCACUUUGUCCCAGAGACAUCUCCCCAGCCUCCCAUUAGCAGUCCCAACCCAAAGCUUAGUCCAUGGUACCCACUAGGCAGAUGGAGACAACUUUUGCCCCAGAUUGCCCAGUGCUACGGAGACAUUAGAUCUUUAGGAGUUACUUGUCCCCAUCCCUCCAUGGCAAUAGUACCGGGGCCCCGACUUUCCUCCCCCCAAUCCUUUCCGUGGCUUCUGGCUUCUGCCGUGAUGUCCCUUUGCCUAGGCUGGCUCCACCGGGAACCCGUUGACUGUGGAGGUGGUUCUGCAAACCCCAAACUAAGAGCCUGUUUUGACACGGCUGGGAGCAAAGCUGAGAGCAAGUCUCCAGAGCGGCAAUUGCUUCAUUCAGUUCUGGGAUGCCCCCCACACACCUAAAGUGAAGCGAUGAGCCCCUCCUCCCAGCUACCCAGCAAGCAGCCAUUUAUUCCCAAUUGCUCCCCACAGUAUAGGUCAAUUAGAGAGGAAGCCAGCAGGACUGGGGGCACGGGCAAUUCUUUUGAGGGCAGGAGACCCCUGGGCUGCCUAGUCACAGGCACCCCCUCCAUUCACAUGCUAUGUAGGAAUGCAAACUCCCAGAAAGGGAGUGGGGAUUCUGUCCAAUGCAGAGCCACGGAGUAAAUGGCCCUGGUCCUGGACACUUCCCAAGUGAGAUUUACAGUUCUGGCUCACUCUGCUCAGGCAGAAACAGCCACUUCAGCCAUAUCAGGAAUGGCCUCUUAUUGUUGACUUCCCUUUGGGGAUACGUUUUUCACAGCUAGCUAAUGCUUUUGUUUCAAGGUAGGAGGGGUUCUCAGUCUUUCCCUUCUGAAUUGUGGUUGGAUUUCUCUUUAAUCAUUUAUUUCCAAGUUCUUUUUGUAGGGCAUAUCACUGUAAUUAGCAGCCAAUGCUACAUUUCCACGGUUGCCUUACUUUCCAUGUGCUCCAUAGUCUCCAUGAAGUCCACCAUCCCAGCCGGGCCCAUCACGGUCUUCAUGCCUCUUAGAUAGAAGCCAUUUUGCACCCCACCCCAAUAAAUCUCUGGUAUAAGGUCCAUUUCAAGGUGUGAUUUUUUUUUUUUUUUUUGUGAUAUUCCUUAGCCUUCGAUCGUUGAGAUACUCUUGUUGCAAACCGUUUCAUUUUCUCUUGUGAUUUCAUAGUAUUUCGUUUCCUUUCCCCUUACAUUUUCAGAACACUGUUUCGGUCUUACCAGUGUUUUCUGGACCUUCCUGUCCAGCUGAAUUGCUCAGAACAAGCAAAUAGUUAGGUCGGAGCCACAUUCCAGGCCAUUUAAGUCAGAAUCUCCAGGGGCUGGGUCCUGCCUGGCCUGGGAAGAGAAACUUCCCUGACUAUUCUGAUGUGCUGAGAGAGAAGCAAGCUGAAUCCAACCCACGGAGGUAUCUCAAGGCCUGUGUGAAUGGAGAAAAGCGGAAACUCUCAGUAUGACUCAGCUGCAGCAGGCUUUGGGAGUGGACAUCAAAUGAUAACUACAAAAAAGCAAGAAACAAGCACAAAAGCCUAUCAGGAAACCCCCCAAAGAAGUGAAGUCUUGGGGGCUGGUGAGAUGUCUCAGCAGGUAAAAAGUGCUUGCACGCAAGCCUGAUGGCCUGAGUUCCGACCCUGGAACCUGCAUUUCAAAGUCAGACUCUGUGACACGUAGCUGUCCUCCUAUUGGAGAUGGGGUGUGGAAGCAGGAGAAUCGCCCAGAAGCUCUUGGGCCUGGUAGCUGGGAGUAUGCAGCCCAGUGGGAGAAAUGAGAGAACCUCUGCCCUCCACACACAUGCUGUGUGGUAUGUGUGCAUGCACUUUUAGGUUUGAAGGAUUUUGAAAUAUGGUGGAUUUGCAGAAAUUCCCAUUUGAGACCUCAGUCUGCAUAAACACAAGUCACCUGGGGGUCAAUGCAGCUGGACCUUCAUCCCCUUCCUUCAUAUCAGAGGCAAGUCUGUUUUCAAGAACACAGUGUGACUGGUUUACAAGCGGCCCGUGUCCCAUCAAAUGCAGUCAGUGUGGGCACUCCCAACUGCAUUUCAUUAAUGCCUCCAAAGACAUCGCAAAGGGUACAGCCUUCAUGCAAGGGAAGAUCAAAAUGCCGAGCAAGCAUUUUAUUCUUCUCUGAGUUACAGAUACCUUCUGACCCCAGGCAAACGCGCAGUGAGGCCCCACCCAUAAUUACUAAAUUACAACCCACUUGCCCUGUUUUAUUUUGCUGUAGUCCAAAGAGAACUUACGGUGAUCUUGAGAAGUACAAAUAGAACGAUCCGUCUAUGUGUGGGCUGAAACUUCUACAGUGUGGUUAUUCCUAUGACGAUGUCUCCAGGACAACAGACAGGGAAAGAUCUGCAGCCAUUUAUCAGAAGGGAAACAAUUUUCUUUUGGGCAAUAGUAUUUCCAUUUUACAAUGGGAAAAUCAUCCUGAGAGGUUAAAUAUCUUGCCUGAAAUCGCCCAGCGACUAGCCAACAGGGGCAGGAUUUAAACACAGGUCUGGACAGGAAAGUCAUGUUUGUUCUCACCUUGCUCUGGGCCCUUCACUGUGCCCCAGUGCUGACUGUGGCAAGUCCUUCUGCUUUGUUCAUCAGAGCUCAGAUUCAGGUUUUGAUUUCCUAAUAGAUACUACUGUGAGGUAGUGCAAAUGGCAGACUAGGCAACUCGUAGUAUAGUUAGUUAGCUGGAAAUUUCUAUCUGCAGUGGGAAACAAGGGCUGACUGGAUGUCAUGGACCUGCCACUCUGUCAGUCACGUGUCUAAGUGUAUUAGAAGGAGCUGGUGUAUAUUUCUAGAAGCCUCAUGUCAGAAGGUGAGGCUGGGCCAAGGAGACCUGCACGCUGCUUCACCAGGGUCUCUCUAAAUACCGGUGGCCCCAGGCUCAGCCCUGUACCCUCUUUUGGCUGACAUCUAUGUUGUUGCUUGUUCUAAUGUUUGAAUCUUCCAAAUUUUAUAUCCAUCUUUUAUUUCUCCUUCAAGAAUUUGGCCUCAAGCCUCUACACACCCACUCAGCAUCUCUGUUUAGUCCCACAAGCAAAGUGGUGGAUUUGGCUCCUUAGCGUCCUCUUGUCUUCCUCUUCCAGGCUUUGCACAGGGCUCCACACCCCACUUGCUUCCUGCACACAGAGAUGGGACAGUCUCCUACAGUCCACUUGUGAAGAAGCAGAAGAAUUCUUUAAAAUCUGAAGGGGGGGCUUUAGAAAGUUGGCUCAGUUGUUAAGAGUCCUGGGGGCUCUUGCAGAAGAUGGGGUUCAGUUCCCCACACUCACAUGGUGGCUCACAACCACCUGUAACUCCAGGUCCAGGGGAUCUGCUGUCCUCUUUUGACCUCUGAGGGCACUAGGCACACAUUUGGUGUACACACACACACACACACACACACACACACACACACACACACACAGGCAAAACACUCAUAUAUGUAAAAUAGAAUAAAUAAAUCUUAAGAAAUUAAAAUUUUAGAAAGUAAUACAGAUUGGGAACAAAGAUAUAAAACUGUCCUUAUUUGUAGGUGAUGUGUUUUUCUAUGUAAAAAACAACAACAAAAAAAACCCAAGGUAUCUAAAAAAACAAAACAAAAACAAAAACCUUCUGGAACUAGUCAGUGUUUUGGGUGAGGAAGAGUGUAAGAAAACUUGAAAUCUAUAUGCCAGUAACAAACACAAGGAAAAUAAAAUGAAAAACACAAUACUAUUUACAAACCACAUUAAAAAUUACCUAGGUAGAAAUCUAGAGUGUGCACAGGAUCUCUUCGUUGAAAUUUACAACCACAUUAAAAAAAAAAAUACAUAUGUCAGCUGGUGGUGAUGAACGCCUUUAAUCUCAGCACUUGGGAGGCAGAGGCAGGUGGAUCCCUGUGAGUUCAAGGCCAGCCUGGUCUACAGAGUGAGUUCUGGGACAGCUAGGGCUGUUACACAGACAAACCUUGUCUCGAAAAUAAUAAUAAUAAUAAUAAUAAUAAUAAUAAUAAUAAUAAUAAUAAAUAAAUAAAUCUAGAAUGUGCACAGGAACCCUCUGUUGAAAACAGCAAAAUACCAGUACAAGAAAUCAGACCUAAACAAUGGAAAGUGAAGAAAUCAGACCUAAACAAUGGAAAGUGAAGAAAUCAGACCUAAACAAUGGAAAGUGAAGAAAUCAGAUCUAAACAAUGGAAAGUCAAGCUGCACAAAAUACCCAGGGUCAGUGGCUAUUUUUAGCCAUUGUUCUCCCCAGUGGGGUUAUCCUCAGAGAAUCCUUACUGCCCGGGCUCCCCUUUCAUAAGUUUCUCCGGGGUAUCUGCAUCUCCUCCCCCUGCCUCCCCCUUUCAGUUUGAGGAGAACAGUCCAUCGUCAUAUGACAACAGGAACAUGAGGCAACUGGUGACAGUGGCCUCCGCCCCUGCCCCAUGGCCUCCACUCCUGGCUGUGACCGGCAGACAGAGCUUUAUAGAAAGGUCUCAUGGAAGCAGAUGCUGAAUGCUCAGCCCGCAUCCCCUCAAGACCGGAGAGGGAACCUAAGGUGUGUCCAGAUGGACUGUUCUCGGCCAUGAGUACUGAGAGGAGGGAUGCAGUGUUCUUCUGAGUCCACGGUGUCAACCUGCCAUGUCUCUGGUGCCUCGUCUCCUUUGUUUUCCUUUCUGCAAACACACAAAGCAGACCAGUAGAAUUAAAGACACAGAGGCCAGCAGUAAACAGAGUCAAGGAGGUUCACAUCAGAGAUCAGAAGAUGUGGCUUCCGUUCACGGUGUUUGCAGACUUAGUGCGAGAUCCUGUCUGAAAAACAAGGUGGAUGACUUCUGAGAAAGGAUGACUUGCCUUCCAAGCGGCUGAAUUCAUGGCAGAAGAAACAUCCAGGGAGCACCUGCAGUUUGCAAGACACCUGGACAGAGCACAGACUCCCCCAGGCCUCUCUGAGCCUUGGCACUGACUGCAGAGUAAGACUCAGGGAGAGAUUCGUGCAAGUACUAAAGACCAGUUCUGACAGACGUUGCCUUAGUGGCCUUCUUUCAGCCAGGAAUUGCCUGUUUGCUGUUUGAGUCCCAGAGCGGCCCUUGCUCACUAGGGCUUCUCAUUCUCCCUUCCUGAGGGUAUUUUCUGUGUGGCUUAGAAUAAAGAUUGGACUAUGUAGAUGUUACCAUGGCAACUGGUGUUUUAAAUAAAAAUAGUGCUACACCCCCGGUAGCCUGUCAGUGUGAAAUGUGCCUAUUGGCAUGAAGGGCUGGGGGCAUCUUACUUCUUCAGCUCUCAGCAUCCAUCUCCUGCACUUUCUCAGGCCUGGGGGUCAGGACUGGCCGCUCUGACAGAUGCCUGGCUCUGGGGCCCCUCGGGAAGAAAGUGGGUGUCUAGCAAAUGCAGGCCCUCCUCAGCCAGCCUGGGAACUCUGACUGGUUCCUCUUUCUAUGGCCCUGGCAGUGCAGGAGGAGGGUGUAUUCUCUGUCUUUCUGGAGAGAAACCUG
ensembl:lncRNA